GGAGAGCUUUCUUACACUUUACAUGUGAAUUUUUAGGUUAAAUACAAUACGUAGAGAAGACAGGUGGAAGUAAGAGCCAGUAAAAUUUGUAACCUGUCCUCUUUCAUCGCUUGCCCCUGGUGACGGGGCCUUCUCAGGACACAGAGGAAGAGGAGCCAGGCAGUCCUGCUGAGAAAUAGCACGGGACAGACAACUGGAGCCAGCAAAGGUGAACAGUGGGUCUGAGCCAGUGAAGAGGAGAAAAGGGCGAGCAUCAAUCACGGUACAGCAUGAGGCCAUUGGACUCACCUACCACCACUGGGCCAACAAGGCCUACACCGAGGGACAACGCUUCCCAGCAGAGAAGGGAGGCCAGAAUAACAACACUGGAUUUUUUUUCCCCCACAUAGCUUGUUAACUCUGACAGACUGUUGGAUGAUCAAAAGUUCCCCUCAAAGAACAUCAAAUACAAAUAUCAACUCAGUGCCUAAAGCAAUGGAAGGAGAACUUUCCGGGCCAAACCCCAGGGAACUUCCUCUUGGCGCCCCUCUCCAAGUUAUUACUUCUGACCACUGACCUACCAAAAGCCCAGUUUCAAGACCACAGUAGCAGAUUCUUCUAUCUUGGCUGAAAAAAAUAAAAAGCUUUAAUGA